rnacentral:rRNA from 1 species
UACGGAGGGAGCUAGCGUUGUUCGGAAAUACUGGGCGUAAAGUGCACGUAGGCGGCGCAGCAAGUCAGGGGUGAAAUCCCGGGGCUCAACCCCGGAACUGCCCUUGAAACUGCAGUGCUAGAAUCUUGGAGAGGCGAGUGGAAUUCCGAGUGUAGAGGUGAAAUUCGUAGAUAUUCGGAAGAACACCAGUGGCGAAGGCGACUCGCUGGACAAGUAUUGACGCUGAGGUGCGAAAGCGUGGGGAGCAAACAGG